rnacentral:rRNA from 1 species
AUACGUAGGUGGCAAGCGUUGUCCGGAAUUAUUGGGCGUAAAGCGCGCGCAGGUGGUUCCUUAAGUCUGAUGUGAAAGCCCCCGGCUCAACCGGGGAGGGUCAUUGGAAACUGGGGAACUUGAGUGCAGAAGAGGAUAGUGGAAUUCCAAGUGUAGCGGUGAAAUGCGUAGAGAUUCGGAGGAACACCAGUGGCGAAGGCGACUGUCUGGUCUGUAACUGACACUGAGGCGCGAAAGCGUGGGGAGCAAACAGGAUUAGAUACCCUGGUAGUCCACGCUGUAAACGAUGAGUGCUAAGUGUUGGGGGGUUUCCGCCCCUCAGUGCUGCAGCUAACGCAUUAAGCACUCCGCCUGGGGAGUACGGUCGCAAGACUGAAACUCAAAGGAAUUGACGGGG